rnacentral:tRNA from 1 species
GGGGUAAUACUCAAGAGGCUGAAGAGGACGCAUUGCUAACGCGUUAGGGGCUUAACCGCCCGCGCAGGUUCAAAUCCUGUUUACCCCGCCA